rnacentral:rRNA from 1 species
UACGUAGGGACCGAGCGUUGUCCGGAAUCAUUGGGCGUAAAGAGCGUGUAGGCGGCCACUUAAGUCCUGCGUGAAAUCUUGCGGCUCAACCGCAAGCGGUCGUGGGAAACUGGGUAGCUAGAGUGCGGGAGAGGAGAGUGGAAUUCCUGGUGUAGCGGUGGAAUGCGCAGAUAUCAGGAAGAACACCCGUGGCGAAGGCGGCUCUCUGGAACGCAACUGACGCUGAGACGCGAAAGCGUGGGGAGCAAACAGG